rnacentral:misc_RNA from 1 species
GUUUGAGCUGCACACCUAAAAAUAAAACAUGAAAUCGAGCAAAACAAUGAACAACUAUAGAAAUCCGACAUACUUAUAUAUCCUAAUAAGUAAUUCAACUUAUAUAUGUACAUUAAAAGAUCAAUCCUGAAAGUGAAAGGGAAAAGAUUGCAUUAUUGAUGUUAGAACUUGAACGAAAAUCCCUGCACCUAACGUCUGCACCCACGAAAUGUGAUUCUCCUAACAAUACCAGCAAAAACUUUGCAUGUUUGCCUUUGGCACACUAUGCACUAGUAUCAUCCGACACCUAAAUCUUUUCCCUUCUGUGAUCUAUCUGAUAUCCAUACUUGCCAUCCGACAGCUACAAUUUUUUAGAACAGAAUCCAAGUUCUAUAGCUCAAUA